ensembl:misc_RNA
GCAUAGUAUUACCAUCAGCAACACACCUUACCUUCGUUUUUUUCAUUCAGUACAUAGGUGGUAGAUGCUAGACUGCAGGAAUGAAUAAAACAUGAGUCUCAGGUGGUCUCUGUCCCUUCUUUCAUCCUAAUUCUAAAUUUAGUUGGUAACAUUUUGAAAGUACUGCAUAUAAUCAGUAUAAGUGAUGAUCGAA